rnacentral:rRNA from 1 species
UGCCACCUGAAUCAUAUAAGUGGUAAGUCCUGCCCAGUGAAAUUUUCAACGGCCGCGGUAUCCUAACCGUGCAAAGGUAGCAUAAUCACUUGCCCAUUAAUUGUGGGCUAGAAUGAACGGAUAAACGAGGGCGCCUCUGUCUCCUUUGAGUCUAUAAAAAUUAAUCUUUAAGUGAAGAAGCUUAAAUUAUAUCGCAGGACAAGAAGACCCUAUAGAGCUUUACCUUAUAAAUAUGUCAAAAAUAUUUACGGUUCGGUUGGGGCGACCAAGGGACAUUAAUCACCCUAAAUUAACAAGAUCUACCAAUCAACUCAUAGAUCCUACCUUUAGAUCAAUGAACCUAGCUACCUUAGGGAUAACAGGCUAAUUCCCCUAGAGAGCCCUUAUCAAUAGGGGAGGUUGGCACCUCGAUGUUGGCUUAGGAUUUCUUCAUGAAGUAGCAAUCAUGACAAGAUGGUUUGUUCAACCAUUAAUAUCCU